CAAGUCGGAUGUGAAAUCCCCGGGCUCAACCUGGGAACUGCAUUCGAAACUGGCAGGCUUGAGUCUUGUAGAGGGGGGUAGAAUUCCAGGUGUAGCGGUGAAAUGCGUAGAGAUCUGGAGGAAUACCGGUGGCGAAGGCGGCCCCCUGGACAAAGACUGACGCUCAGGUGCGAAAGCGUGGGGAGCAAACAGGAUUAGAUACCCUGGUAGUCCACGCCGUAAACGAUGUCUACUUGGAGGUUGUGCCCUUGAGGCGUGGCUUCCGGAGCUAACGCGUUAAGUAGACCGCCUGGGGAGUACGGCCGCAAGGUUAAAACUCAAAUGAAUUGACGGGGGCCCGCACAAGCGGUGGAGCAUGUGGUUUAAUUCGAUGCAACGCGAAGAACC
rnacentral:rRNA from 2 species